rnacentral:rRNA from 1 species
UACGAAGGGGGCUAGCGUUGUUCGGAUUUACUGGGCGUAAAGCGCACGUAGGCGGAUUGUUAAGUCAGGGGUGAAAUCCUGGAGCUCAACUCCAGAACUGCCUUUGAUACUGGCAAUCUUGAGUCCGGAAGAGGUGAGUGGAACUCCUAGUGUAGAGGUGGAAUUCGUAGAUAUUAGGAAGAACACCAGUGGCGAAGGCGGCUCACUGGUCCGGUACUGACGCUGAGGUGCGAAAGCGUGGGGAGCAACAGG